rnacentral:rRNA from 1 species
UACAUGGGGUGCAAACGUUGCUCUGGAAUUAUUGGGCGUAAAGCGCACGUAGGCGGUUUGUUAAGUCGGAUGUGAAAUCCCUCGGCUCAACUGAGGAAGUGCAUCCGAAACUGGCAGGCUUGAGUACUAAAGAAGGGUCGCGGAAUUCCCGGUGUAGAGGUGAAAUUCGAUAGAUAUCGGGAGGAACACCGGUGGCGAAGGCGGCCCUCUGGACGGAUACUGACGCUGAGACGCGACAGCGUGGGGAG